rnacentral:rRNA from 1 species
CCUACGGGUGGCAGCAGUGAGGAAUAUUGGUCAAUGGACGCGAGCCUGAACCAGCCAAGUAGCGUGCAGGAUGACUGCCCUACGGGUUGUAAACUUCUUUUAUAAAGGAAUAAAACGAGGCACGUGUGCCUUUUUGCAUGUACUUUAUGAAUAAGGAUCGGCUAACUCCGUGCCAGCAGCCGCGGUAAUACGGAGGAUCCGAGCGUUAUCCGGAUUUAUUGGGUUUAAAGGGAGCGUAGAUGGGUUGUUAAGUUAGUGGUGAAAGUUUGCGGCUCAACCGGAAAAUUGCAAUUGAUACUGGCAGGCUUGAGUGCAGAUGAGGUAGGCGGAAUGCGUGGUGUAGCGGUGAAAUGCUUAGAGAUCACGAAGAACCCCGAUUGCGAAGGCAGCUUACUAAACUGUGACUGACAUUGAGGCUCGAAAGUGUGGGUAUCAAACAGGAUUAGAUACCCUUGUAGUC